CUACUGCUCCCUCCUCCUCUUAUCUCAAUUUGUUCCGAUUACCCCCUACCUCCCUGCAACCACCAAAAUUUACAGUGGGGACCUCAUACCAUAUCAGUUAUUUGUAUCUUAUUGGUGCCAAUCUGGUUGGGAACUCUGGAAUUUCCGGGCAGCAGCAAUGUAUUGUGACAUUAGCCCAUACAAGGGAACUGUGGGACUUGCAUCACAUUCCGCAAUGCUAUACGUGAAAGGAUACUUGUGCUCCUUGUCAUACUAACAUCAAUAUAACAACUAAUAAGCUGGGAGGAAAAAAAAACACUCCCUCAGGACUUAUUUAUGGUCCAUAGCACCAUCUAGAGGAUUUUGAAAGAGCACCGUGUUAGCAUAGUCACGUGCCCUUCAGCACUAGGUUAUAAACCAGAAAGUUAACAUGACUCCCACUCCCAGUCAUUAUAGGACAAGUCAAACAGGAAAGGGUGUGUGUGUGUGCGUAUGGCAGAUGUCAGGUAAGAACAGACUCCAGCUCAGCUAUGUUGAGGUGGUUAACUUACUGAUAAUUACUUCCCUGAGUCACACAUGAAGAAUUGUUAUGGCAGACAAGUUAGGUGAGAGUCGCCAGUACCUAUGGCUGUAUACCCUGCAGGAAUCGUCUGCGGAGAAGUGAGGAAAAUAAACACCUUUGGAAUAGAUCACUUAGCGACCAAUGAGGUUUACAAGACUUGCUGGCUUCUCAUAAUUGUGAACAUCCACUGAAGGUACUCAUGUGCCAGAGGAAUUCCAUUCAAUAAGACCAACCUUUUUAUCAACAGAAGAUGUUUCUGCUCAAUCAACAUGCAGAUGCUGCUUGACCUGAUGUGUGUGUUCCCAGCACCUUUGGUUUUUAUGUAAAAUUGGCAAAAUUGUCCACUCAUUUAGUGAGCAUACACAACUGCCACCAGAUGGCAAUAGAUGCACAGCACAAAUUUAAUGAUACCUGUACCUGCAUCAAAAGAUAAAUUGAACUAAAUUUGUUUUUUAUCAUAAUACUCUUGUUCCUAAUUAUUCACUUGAUAGCCGAGCAAUUUCUUUUAAAUAUCUUCAAAUGUCUGGGAUAAUUAUUUGCAUUAUAUCCAUCACUGUUGCUUCAAAGAUCAGAUAUAAAGAAUAACUCACUUUUAGAAAGUAACAUUCACAAAUGUAGGCCGUCCCAAUGAAUUAUAAUAACCAAUACACGCCUUCUGAAUUGCAGUAACAUAAGAAGUACAUAAGAUAAUUUGCACGCAGCUGGAUACUAGAAACAGGAAUAAAACAAAAUGGGUAAGGAGGAACUGCAGAUGCUGGUUUAAAUCGAAGAUAGACACCAAAAACCUGGAGCAAUUCAGCGGGACAGGCAACAUCUCUGGAGAGAAGAAAUGGGUGACGUUUCAGGUCGAGACCCUUCUUCAGACUUAAAACAUAAUGGAACCUGUUAAUUUAUUCAAUGCUCAAUGAUACUUUAUUGUUACAUGUACUAGGUGCUGUAAAAUUCUUUAUUUUGCAUACAAUCCAGUAAACUCAUAAUAUAGAUAAGCACAAUCAUAGAUAAACACAAAUGAGCAACGAUUGUAAUGUAAUAGUAGACUUCACAGAAGCAAAACACAAACAGUUACUUGGUUUAAGUUCUUAAGGGUACAGUCUUAUCUUGGCUUUAAUGGCCUUUUCUCCUAGUGGCACCAAACCUCUUGUUUGUCCACCACCUUCUUGAAAUCGGCAUCUUGUCCAGUGUGCCUCCAGCCGUCUCCCUCCAGCCAUCUCACCUGUUCUCGGUCUUUGUGGUCCAGAAAGUAAUUAAGGUUGAAAUGGUUUCCCAUCAUACAAUGAAGUAAUCAAACAAACUCUUGUCUCAGUGUACUAUUUCUAUCAAUCUGAAUCGGAGUCAUCUCAAUCUAAAGAAGGGUUCCAACAAGAAACGUUGCUCUCCUUUUUUUCCCAGAGAUACUGCCUGACCCGCUGAGUUACUCCAGCACUUUGUGUCUAUCUUCAUUACUAUUUUAUAUAUUUGUGCUGUAUCUAAAAUGUUUUUAUGCAUAGUAAUACUUGUGCUGAACUGCAUGCAAAAAUGAAUUUCGGUACAUGUGACAAUAAAGUACAAUUGAACAUUGAACCAUAUUGUUACGUGGAAAGUUACUUAAACUUCUGAACACAUUGAAUUCUUUGGCAGAAAUUUGCCCGAUAUAACUAGUGCAGAAAAUAUUCUUAUGCAGAAAAUGUGCAACAUAAAGGACACUAUUCAUUAAAUAAUGUCAUAGAAGCAGCUGCUUGCUCAGAUUAUUUUCUUGCACAGUGCAGUAUUUCAGGACUUAGAUCCAACUAUUGACAAUUUUGAUAGAGGUUGGUCUACACAGGAUGAAUUCCUUUCACUACUUCUAUGUGCCUGGAGACAUUUCACAGGACAGCCUAUAGAUCAAUAGAUAGCUUUGAAAGAAC